UACGUAGGCGGCAAGCGUUGUCCGGAUUACUGGGCGUAAAGAGCGCGCAGGCGGUCGUGCAAGUCGCGUGUGAAAGCCCCCGGCUCAACUGGGGAGGGUCACGCGAUACUGCUCGACUCGAAGGCAGGAGAGGGAAGUGGAAUUCCCGGUGUAGUGGUGAAAUGCGUAGAUAUCGGGAGGAACACCAGUGGCGAAGGCGACUUCCUG
rnacentral:rRNA from 1 species